GCCGCCGCCGCUGCAACGGCCGCCGCCGCCUCCACCUCCUUCUUCUGCCCCAGAGGCCGCUUCGCAGGGAAAGUUACAUAACACGCCUGCAAAGCCUUCUGGGAAACGUAGUCCCGCCGGGGCCGGCUCUUAAAGGGAACGGCGGGCAGACGCGGGCUGGGGGGGUUGUCGCCUCUGCCGGCGCAAACCUUACAACCUUCUCCGUGGGGCCGGAGUUCAGCGCGCCGCAAGAUGCUGGGACACAAAGAUGAGGACACUGGAAGCCAAUGGUUACACAGUUGGCCAGGGCAGCACCAGUACUUGAGCCACGUCUUGAGUCCAGAGUGGUGGUGAUUAUCUACUUUGUUACCUGGCCCUGCAGCAGAGUAAAAGAACCAGUUCCUGCCUUCAUGACAUUAUGGGCAAAUGUGCCUUAAAUAGAUAAAGGCCUGUGUUCAUUUAGAGUCACUAUGAAAAAGAACCCAGCUGUGUGUGGUGGCUCAUGCUUGUAAUCCUAGCACUUUGGGAGGCCGAGGUGGGAGGACUGCCUGAGCCCAUGAGUUCCAGAUCAGCCUGGACAUCAUAGAAAACCCCAUCUCUAGAAAAAUAAAACAAUUAGCUGAGCAUGGUGGCACAUGCCUGUGGUCCCAGCUACUUGGGAGGCUGAGGCAGAAGGAUUGCUUCAGCCUGGGAGAUCGAGGCUACAGUGAGUUGUGAUCAUGCCACUGCACUCCAGCUGGGGCAACAGAACGAGAUCCUAUCUCAAAAAAACGGAAAGAAAAGAAAAGAAAGGAAAAGAAAAAGAAAAAGAACCACAGGACACUGAAAGAGACUCUAAGAGGCAAACCCAC
rnacentral:lncRNA from 10 species